GCCUGGAUAGCUCAGUCAGUUAGAGAGUGGUGCCGAUAAUGUCAAGGUUGCAGGUUCGAUCCCUGUAUGGGACG
rnacentral:tRNA from 1 species